UCAUAAAGACGAGCUUUGCUUUUCCCUUUUUUUUUUUUUUUUGUUUUUUACUUUGCCUUGUCAUGUUAUCACGCACCGGAGUAAAGUAGUAGUAGGAUAUAGAGAGGCUAUAUCGAUUGCGACCGGUCGAUAGACAGACACACAUGAGAGCUUUUUGCUUACAGAUACACAGAGGAAGGACUAUCCCUUUAUAAGGGUGAGGUUGAGUUAGCAGUGUGUUAAGGGAAGGACUCUCUCACCGUCUGUGUGUUCGCGUGUAUUAUCAAAGUUCUCCCUGGCGGCGGGGCUUUGCACUCUAGCAUGCAGGAUACAGCGCACUAGCCGCAUCUUUUUCAUUCUCUAGCUCACAUCAUACUCUCGCGGGGAUUAAUCAAGAGAUCCGCUAGAAUGGGAAAUGAUUUUUACGUGCACUACUUUCUCUUCUUUGCUUGCCAUACUUUUCUCUUCAUCAUAUGUAUACUGUCUCGUGGUUUACUUUUUAUUUGUUUUCUUUCUUUUUUUUUUUACGGUAAGAGGAAGCAGCUUCUUGUUAUCGCUCAAACGCAGCAGACGGUGCAUAGAGUCGUCUGCUUCCGCUAAAUGAAACUCGAUACUCUCGUUAUGCGGUGUAUCAUCAUGGCCGCUGAUUUGCUUCGUCACACCAAGUUUGCGUGACACUGUCAACCCUCUUCCCCCCCCCCCCUUUUUUUCCCCCUUCAUUUGCAACGCCUGUUUGAUGCAGUAUCUCCAUCUCAGCUUUGAUGAAUAAUUAGCGAGCAAAAAAAAGUACGAUGUAGAAAUCCAGCCAAAAUAUGACAUUUUUGCGCACGUCACGAAAACAAAAAUAAGGAUUGGAGGAAAAGUUUUGACAUCUUCAAGGCGCCACCAUUUGACUUUUAUACAAAGCCAUUAAAGUCUCCAACACUUCGGGAUUAUAGCCCUCCAGCACGGGCUGGUUGUUAACGUAAUCGCAUUUGGCAAACAUGGGCUGAGGUCCUUCGACCCAAAACAAGUUGUGUGCUCCCUGACUACUGUCCAAAUCUAAAGAGUGGAGCUGGAAACAGCCGAAAUAAAAGUUGCGACUGUCUGUUUGCACGCAGUUAAUAGUCACCGGUUCGGGAAGUUCCUUCACGUCUUUCUGUUGUUAAACAAAUAAAAGGAAAAAAAUACGUCAAAGAAAAA